UUUUUAAUUGACACCAAAGUUAGACAAUAAGUUUAACCACAGAGAUAUUUUUUGGUUUAUUUAUACCAUGUACCUCUUUGAAAAAAUCUUUUGUUUCUUUUGGAUUCACUAUCUCAAGCACCAAAACCCCAAAUCUAAAUACAUCUGAUUUUACCCAGAACACCAUCUAUAGUGUAUUUCGGGGAAAUGUAGCCAGUGCAUGAUAAAAAAUAAUAUCCGGAAUCUGAGUUACGAGAAAUAGAAGAGCGUUUCACAUAUUAUGGAUGAUUCUGAGAUGGGAAUCUUGAUGGAGAUGUUAAGCUGUCGAACUUAAGUAUCGUCGCUAUAAAGAGGCAAUGUGGAUUGAAAAGGGAUUGCGAUUUUUCUCUUAUAAACUUCUAAAUUAACUACAGUAUGUAGUUUCAUAUUGAGAUGAACCUCUAUUAAUGUUGCUUGUUCUUUUGUGUCUUUUUUCCUUGUUAUGAUUUUAGUGCUCUUAUUUUUAUGGAAUUAGAGUUUAUAAUUCUCAACAAGAGAUAUAUAAAACCAGGAGCAAUACCAUUGUUAAUGUACAAGCGCUUAUGCCAAUCAAGCGAUGCACUUUGCAUUGGAUCUGCGAAAACUUUUUCUCUGCUCAUGAGGAUAAUUUGUUUGUUGAAUAAUUGGAACAGAGAAAUCAAUCCCAGUAUCUAACAAUAAAUAUUCUCAAGCAUACUGUAGCAUGAAUCUGCAUGUGUAGAAGAAUAACUACGCUCUGUACUCUAUAAUACAACAGAUCGGAAAACUUUUGCUCUGGGAUUUGAAAAAUGAGUGCGAGACUUCAUGUUAUUAAUAUAAUUGGUACUACUGAUAGAAUGUCUGAGCUGAUUGUGCAAGCAGAAUCAAGUCCAGACUUCUAUUAGACUGGUGGUCAUAAACCAACAUCUUUUCUUCUCUUUGAAUGCAGACUCCUAGAAGUUUCAUGAGAUUUCGAUGCUGAAGUUUAGCUGAUAACUUCAUUCUUGAACUCAUCUGGUCCAUGGGGGGGAUUUUUUGACAGCAAUUUCCUGACCCUCCUAGAGCGGUCCCUAAAAUGGUAUUUGUUUUGCGCAAUGCCAGUUUACGAAUGUCGUCUUCCAUUCACUUUUUCACAUUUGACUUCGCAUGACUGAUUCCCAUGGCUAAAGAAUCCCAAUCCAAAGCUUCCGCAAGUUGAAACCAUGGUAUUAUAAUCUCCAACGAUUUGCAUAAUAGUUAUAAUAUCUGUUGCUUAAAAUAUUUUCUGGAUGGACAUAAAAAAGGUUAUGACAAAAAGUAAUGGGAAAUCUUUAUCUGAUAUCUUCAAGGUUCCAACUCUCUGUGGGGGAAAUCUUUGUCUGAUAUCUUCAUGGUUCCAACUCUCUGUGUGUUUCAAUUUUUCAUUUUUAUUUUUUAUUUUUAAUAGAACUGAUAGGCAGAUAAUAAACAUUAGCUUGAAUGCAUAUUUCCUGAUCAUGGGUUCCAGUGUACACAAUUUAGUUUCCUGACUUAGGAAUCUGAAGCAGUAUUUACUAUUUAAAGUCAAGACUACGUCUAUAAUUGAAAGAACUGAAGAUUUCCUCUAAAACUCCAACUCUACGCUGUCAAGGUCAAUCUACAGUAUAAGGAAAUUUGACCAGUCGAGGCCAUGCUCAUUAGAUUGCUGAAGCUCACUUUUUCAGCUUUGCUCCAGAUUUUAUGUAGAAGUAAAUGAUUAAGCUUUUCGAAUAAGUGAAAAAGAACAGCUUUUGUGUAGCCAACAGUAUAUCUUCUCAUUUUUAUAUAGCAGUUGCAAGGUACCACUUCUGAUUUAAGGACACUACAGAACUUCUACCUCUCUUCAAUAAAAGACUUUAUUUAUUUAUUUUUUUUAUUUUUUAUUUUUUAUAAUUUUCUCCGUUCUUCAUUUUUGUUGCUUUGUUACAGUGCAGAAUUUUUUCUGUGUUUACAGAAGAAGUUAUCGAUAAUUUCUGCGCUUGCUUAGAUGGUAGGACGACAAUUCAAUGAUGCAGAUAGGUCAGUUUUAUGGACCACACCAUCAACCUAGAGUGAAGGGAAAUGUAAAAAUGCUGACAGCCGUCCACGGAGAGUUGUGGACAAAUAUGUAAAAGCUGACUAGUCUAUGAUAUCUGGACAAAUUCCCCUUCUCCUUUUCCAGCAAUAUUCAACUGGAAUAAUUAGCUAGUUUUUUCUAUCUAAGUUAGUAUAGAAUAAUUAACCGUUUAGCUUAAAUGAAAAUUCG
rnacentral:lncRNA from 1 species